rnacentral:rRNA from 1 species
GAUGAACGCUGGCGGCGUGCCUAAUACAUGCAAGUCGAACGAAGAUCUAGCUUGCUAGAUCUUAGUGGCGAACGGGUGAGUAAUACAUAAAUAAUCUGCCCAUAUGACUGGGAUAACUAUUGGAAACGAUAGCUAAUACCGGAUAGGUUGAUCGGAGGCAUCUCUGAUGAAUUAAAGUAGGAUUUCUACACAAAUGGAUGAGUUUAUGGCGCAUUAGUUAGUUGGUGGGGUAACGGCCUACCAAGACGAUGAUGCGUAGCCGACCUGAGAGGGUGAACGGCCAAACUGGGACUGGGACACGGCCAAGACUCCGACGGGAGGAAGCAGUAGGGAAUUUUCGGCAAUGGGCGCAAGCCUGACCGAGCAACGCCGCGUGAGUGAGUAAGGCCUUCGGGUUGUAAAGCUCUGUUGUAAGGGAAGAACAUUCAGGAUAGGAAAUGAUCUUGAACUGACGGUACCUUACCAGGAAGCCACGGCUAACUACGUGCCAGCCGCCGCGGUAA